UGGGGAAUAUUGGACAAUGGGGAGACCCUGAUCCAGCCAUGCCGCGUGUGUGAAGAAGGCCUUAUGGUUGUAAAGCACUUUAAGCGAGGAGGAGGCUCUUCUAGUUAAUACCUAGGAUGAGUGGACGUUACUCGCAGAAUAAGCACCGGCUAACUCUGUGCCAGCAGCCGCGGUAAUACAGAGGGUGCGAGCGUUAAUCGGAUUUACUGGGCGUAAAGCGUGCGUAGGCGGCUUUUAAGUCGGAUGUGAAAAUCCCGCAGCUAAACUUGGGAAUUGCAUUCGAUACUGGGAAGCUAGAGUAUGGGAGAGGAUGGUAGAAUUCCAGGUGUAGCGGUGAAAAUGCGUAGAGAUCUGGAGGAAUACCAAAUGGCGAAGGCAGCCAUCUGGCCU
rnacentral:rRNA from 1 species